rnacentral:rRNA from 1 species
GACGAACGCUGGCGGCGUGCCUAAUACAUGCAAGUCGAACGCAGUGGGGACGGGUGAGUAACACGUGGGUAACCUCCCAUCAGAGGGGAUAACACUUGGAAACAGGUGCUAAACCGAUACUGAUGGAUGGACCCGCGGUGCAUUAGCUAGUUGGUGAGGUAACGGCUCACCAAGGCCACGAUGCAUAGCCGAGCUGAGUGUGUGAUCGGCCACAAUGGGACUGAGACACGGCACGGACUCCUAAGGGAGGCAGCGGUAGGGAAUCAUCGGAAAUGGGAGAAAGUCUAACCGAGCAACGCCGAGUGCGUAAAGAAUGUUUUCGGAUAGUAAAAGUCUGUUGUUGGAGAAGCGGUAUCUGACCAAAGUGCCACGGCUAACUACGUACCAGCAGACGCGGUAAUAC